rnacentral:rRNA from 1 species
GACGAACGCUGGCGGCGUGCCUAAUACAUGCAAGUUGAGCGCUGAAGGUUGGUACUUGUACCAACUGGAUGAGCAGCGAACGGGUGAGUAACGCGUGGGGAAUCUGCCUUUGAGCGGGGGACAACAUUUGGAAACGAAUGCUAAUACCGCAUAAAAACUUUAAACACAAGUUUUAAGUUUGAAAGAUGCAAUUGCAUCACUCAAAGAUGAUCCCGCGUUGUAUUAGCUAGUUGGUGAGGUAAAGGCUCACCAAGGCGAUGAUACAUAGCCGACCUGAGAGGGGGAUCGGCCACAUUGGGACUGGGACACGGCCCAAACUCCUACGGGAGGCAGCAGUAGGGAAUCUUCGGCAAUGGACGAAAGUCUGACCGAGCAACGCCGCGUGAGUGAAGAAGGUUUUCGGAUCGUAAAACUCUGUUGGUAGAGAAGAACGUUGGUGAGAGUGGAAAGCUCAUCAAGUGACGGUAACUACCCAGAAAGGGACGGCUAACUACGUG